UUAAUUAGGAGCUAAUCUUCGAGUUUGGAAAAACUCAGAGACUUUGGGAACACAUACCUUGGGAGGUGUGUGUGUAGUUAGGAAUUAGAGUUUAUAAUUCCUAGUUAUUGAGUUAUAGGGAUUAGAGUUUAUAAUUCCUAGUUGUUGAGUUAUAGGAAUUAAAGUUUAUAAUUCCUAUUUAUUGGUUACAAGAGUUUUGUAAUCAGUCGUUGUUGAGGCUCAAAGUUUUUUAGUGAAGUUGGGGUUAAAUCCUGUAGAGGUGCAGGUCGUAUUUUUUACACCUUUUGGGCCGGGUGUUUUCCACACAAAAAUCAUUGUGUUCUUUACUUUCUGUUUACUGCUUCCUUGAAACACGUCAGUGGAACACGUCAGGCAACACAUUCCAUCGAUAAGCAAAAGAUAGGCGAAAAUAAGAAAAUCAGUAGGGCACGAAUUCUUAACAAGUGGUAUCAAAGCGAAGUUGUCUUAAAAAGGGAUAACACCUAAGACAAAGAUUAAUAUAAUGAAUUCCGCACCACCUACUAGUCACAAUGAAGGUCAAUCCACUAUUAGACCUCCACUCUUUGAUGAUUCUAGCUUCAUUUGGUGGAAAGUCAAGAUGAAAACAUUCAUUCAAGGGGAAGACUACGAGUUAUGGGAUAGGAUCACUGAUGGUCCUACUAUUCCAAUAAAGUUAGAAGAUGGGAAACAGGUCAAGAAAGUAAGAAGUGAAUUCACUCCUCAUGACUUAUUGGCAUUAAAGAAAAAUUCUAAGGCCAAAAACAUUUUGGUCUGUGGAUUAGGAUCUGCUGAAUACAACCGGGUAUCAACAUGCACCACUGCUAAGCAAAUUUAGGAUGCUCUAGUAAAUGCUCAUGAAGGCACAUCUCAAGUAAGAAAAUUUAGAAUUUCUCUUCUCUUCACUGAGUAUGAGGCAUUUAAGAUGAAGGAGAAUGAAAUCUUGGAUGAGAUGAUGACAAGACUUACUGCCUUAACAAAUGAGCUAACCUCCUUUGGAAAAGCUAUAUCUGAAGAAGAACAAGUCGAGAAGGUACUGAGGGUAUUACCAAAAUCAAAGUGAAAUAUUAAGGUGACUGCAAUCAGGAAAGCAAAUAAGGAUCUUGCAGGCAUGACCCUAGAUGAAUUAGUGGGGAAUUUAAGAACUUAUGAAAUGGAAAUUGAUGGAACUAAAGUGCUAGAAGCCCCAGAGGAUACCUUAGCUCUGAAGGCAUCUUACAGUGAUGGAGAAAUUAAACUUGAUAAAAAAUAAGUUGCCUUUAUAGCUAAGAACUUCAGCAAAUUCUUCAAAAAGAAGAAGGGAACAGAUAGUAAGAAAUGGUCAAAUAACAAUCUAAAUGGAUGCUACAAGUGUGGUAAGACUGAUCAUCAUAUCAAAGAUUGUCCUGUCUGGGAAAUAGAAUGGAGAAAGGAAAGGGCUGAAAAAGAAUUGAAAGAAAAAAUCAAAAAAAGAAAAGAAUAUGCAAUGGUAGAAGCUUGGGGAUUUGACUCAGAUGAUGAUGAAGUUGAUGAAGCAGCACUUAUGGCUCUUGGAGAUUCAGAAUUGGAGGAAGAAGAUGAUACUUCUGAGGUAAGUAUACUUGAACUUAAAGAAAAGUUGCAUUUGUUUUCUAAAACAAAACUCAUUUCUUUGAUGAGUGCACUAAUUCAUAACUUUCAAGAAUCAACUUCUGAUAGGGAUGAGCUGUUCAAUAGUCUUGCAAGCAUCAAAUUUGAUUUAAUUGAUUUAGAAGCUUGCAAGAACAUUGUCGAACGGGAAAAUUGCACUCUCAAGAAAUAGGUUGAGCAACUUGAUUCUUCAAACAAUGAUCUUAAGUCUGAAGUCCUAAAAUUAACACUCUCUGAAAAGGGAAAAAAGGCCAUAAGUAAAGAUCAAGAAAAUGCUGAACUUGAGCUAGUUAGAUACAAACAAGAAUGUCAUGAUCUAACUAAAAAUAUGAAUAAGUUAAGUCAAGAAGUUUCUAAACUAAAACUUGAUCUUGAAAGGACAAAUAGGUGGACAAACUCCUCAAGAAUUGUUCACAAAUUGGGGGAAAGAAAUUACAAUGAAAAGGCAGGAUUAGGAUUCCACAAAAAUUUUGAUGUUCCUAAAGAUUUAUGUUAUAUUUGUGGUAACCUUGGACAUCCAAUCAUUGAAUGUUCAGUUGCUGCCAAAAGCAGAUCUAGCAGUCUAAAUCUGGCAAAUAAAUUAUCUCAGACCAAGAAAAGGAUAAGUAAACCUGAUCAUAGAAACAGGUCACGUAACCUAUUGCCUCCAUGGGCUAGAAGAAAUUUGAUUCAUCCAUUUACUCAUAAGAAAGGAUCCAAGCUUGUCUGGGUGCCUAAAUUUAACCCCUAAUUUGUUUUGCAGGUAAGAGUGAAAGGAGGCAAGCAAAAUUUAUACAUGAAUAAGGCUUUCUCAAGGCAUAAGACUAGAAAAAAAUAAAGUUUCUUUCACUCACCACAUUUAAAGAGGGAAUGGAUCAUUUAAAAGAUGACCAGAUUUGUAGUGCUCGUGUAAGGGGGAAGCAAGGGAGGUUUAAAAAAAUGAAAAAAAAGGAUGACUGUGAAACUGAUGUGUAUGCACAGGAACAUGUUGUACCACUUGGUUCAACUGUUGUACAAACUGAGGACAUAUUGACAGGGGGAACAUGUUGUACCAUCUGGUUCAACUAUUGUAUAGACUGAGGGCAUAUUGACAGGGGGAACAACAAAUCAAGAAAUUGAUGCAUCAGUAACACCAACACAAGCUGAUGAUAAUUUUGUUGGUAAUUCAUAAGAAUUGGUGUUUUCACAAGAAUCUUAAGAUAUCUCAUGGGAAUCAAUGGCUUGAGACUAUGGUAUUCAAAUGAAAGUAAUUUCACUCUUGGGGGCUAUAAAAAUGUUGACUAUGUGGGUUACUUAAUUGAUUGAAAAGCACCAAAGGCAUCACGUAGAGAACAUUUUGAAAGGAAUAGGUUAGACUUGGGGAUGAUUAAAAUUGCAUGAAGUCCCCUCAAUGAUUGACUAGAAUAAUCAUUUUUCUUUUUAAUCUUAUUAGCUAAAAAGUUAUUCUAUUCAGUCUGUACAUUUAGUUGUGUGUCCCAAUUUUAGAUUUUUGACUUUUUAAACCUAAUUUUGUAUUAGAUUGUGCCGAAAAAUAGGUACAAGCAAGUAAUUGUGACCACAAAGUUCUUCUUAUCAGGUAUAUUCUACACUGACAUAAGCAUAGGCUGUCUAAGUUGAAACAGUUGAGUACACCUGUUCAAUUCCACAAACUUCAUCCUCUCAUUGUCUAAUAAAGCUAAUGAAUUGUUGACCAAACUUUCUUUGAUUCUCUCCAAAUGGAUGUGCACAAGUGUGUUAAUCCUAUACCAGAAAUUUCUUCUUCUUUCUCAACCAAAAUAUCAGUUGUGUACAAUGGAUUUGCAAAGCUUGAUCAUCAAUCACAUGCAGCAUAUGUUUUUAAAGAAUGAAAAGGGCCAUGCUUUCCCUUUUAGUUCCUAAUUGGUAAUUUUUUUGGGCUUCUCAGUCCUAAAUCAGGUUUGACUUAUAUAAAAAAAAAAAUGUUCUUGAACAGAUGAAUCAUGUUGCUCUACCCAUUUCAAUAAGGAGGGCUAAGACUCAUUUGAGAAAAAAAAAUCUGAACUAGAAACUGCAUUCAUGGCUUUGAAGCUUGACCUUGAUUGAUAGAGGGAUGAAAAUGUUGAAGUCAUUCAUCAAUUGACAUAGUUGAUAUCACCUGUUCCACCUUCCUCAUCAGCUCCUCACUAUUUGUAUCCUUAGUCAUGUCCCACUUUUAUACCGUAUUUUUUUAAUGCUCAAUUAUUUUGCUUUAUUCAGUACUAGCUUAGGUUUAAUGAGGAACAUGCUCUGACAGUUAAAUGGAAUAGUUAUCUUUGCUAAAUUGACUCAUAUUUUUAUCUCUUUAAUACAUUACUAUGUUGGCUAAAGUCUUUGUCUGAUUGUUUUGGUAAUUGCUCUAGUGGCCAUGAAUAGCAUAACAAAUCACUUUGACUAGUAUAUUAUUGCAUUGAAAUGGUUUUCGAUGAUGCCAAAAGGGGAAGAUGAAGAGGGUUAUUCAAUGUUUAUAACCCAUUGACUAACUUGUUUCAUUCUAGUGUUUUAAACUUUAGUGCCAACAGGUGAAGAUGUUUGAAUGCACAAAGACAAAAGGUUUGUCAUCAUCAAAAAGGGAAAAUUUGUUUGAACCUUGAAGUUUUGAUGAAUGACAAUAUGAAUGAAACAAGUUGAAUUUAAUUGAAACACUUGAUGAUAAGGGAAAGCAAGUUGAGUUGAAAAAGGAGUCCUAUGUGAAUAAGGAGUUUCACUUCUAAGCAUAUCCUUAAGAGUCCAAUGUGUGGAAGGAGAAAGAUUCUNNNNNNNNNNNNNNNNNNNNNNNNNNNNNNNNNNNNNNNNNNNNNNNNNNNNNNNNNNNNNNNNNNNNNNNNNNNNNNNNNNNNNNNNNNNNNNNNNNNNNNNNNNNNNNNNNNNNNNNNNNNNNNNNNNNNNNNNNNNNNNNNNNNNNNNNNNNNNNNNNNNNNNNNNNNNNNNNNNNNNNNNNNNNCUAAGAGUUUUAGCGUUGAUUUUUAGAGUUGUUCAUUAUGUUUGAGCUAUUCAUGUAAUAUUAGUUUCAGUGUGUUAUAAACUGAAUUAUGAGCUAGUCUUCAAGUUUGGGAAAACUCAGAGAAUUUGGGAACACAUACCUUGGGAGGUGUGUGUAGUUAGGAAUUAGAGUUUAUAAUUCCUAGUUAUUGAGUUAUAGGGAUUAGAGUUUAUAAUUCCUAGUUGUUGAGUUAUAGGAAUUAGAGUUUAUAAUUCCUAUUUGUUGGUUACAAUAGUUUUGUAAUCAGUCGUUGUUGAG
rnacentral:lncRNA from 1 species